rnacentral:rRNA from 1 species
AGUGAACGCUGGCGGUAGGCCUAACACAUGCAAGUCGAACGGAGUGGCGGACGGGUGAGGAAUAUCUCGGACUCUACUCUGUCGUGGGGGAUAACGUAGGGAAACUUACGCUAAUACCGCAUACUAUCAGAUGAGCCUAGGUCGGAUUAGCUAGUUGGUGGGGUAAAGGCCCACCAAGGCGACGAUCCCUACCUGGUCUGAGAGGAUGACCAGGCACACUGGAACUGAGACACGGUCCAGACUCCUACGGGAGGCAGCAGUGGGGAAUAUUGGACAAUGGGCGAAAGCCUGAUGCAGCCAUGCCGCGUGUGUGAAGAAGGUCUUCGGAUUGUAAAGCACUUUAAGUUGGGAGGCGUUACCAACAGAAUAAGCACCGGCUAACUUCGUGCCAGCCGCCGCGGUAAUUC